UUUUUUAGAAUUUAUUUUUAUUCUUUCAGACCUCUCAGGGAUGAACGGACAUAGGCUUCUAACACUUAGGUGUGGGCAACAUUCUUCGAAGCACCUCCCUCAAAGUGGAAAAGGCCUGGGGGCUCAGACGAGAGAAGAGAGAAGGCAGGGAGAAGGUGGAGGUGAGGAAGGGAGGAGGGGGCCCAGGGCUCAGUGGGGUGUUGGGGAGGGUGGGAUUCCACCGGGGUUUGCCCAUCCACAGCUCAGUGGGGGGAUCUAUGGAGUGUGUCUAGCAAGAGAGGACCCAUGGCAGGCUUGGUAACUAACAUCAUGCAGUAGCUUCUUCUAUUCUCUCUUAUUUUUUUGGAAACGGAGUCUCGCUCUUGUUGCCCAGGCUGGAGUACAGUGGCACAAUCUCAGCUCACUGCAACCUCUGCCUCCCAGGUUCAAGUAAUUCUCCUGCCUCAGCCUCCUGAGUAGCUGGGAUCACAGAAUCAAAUUGAACCUGGGAGACAGAGGUUGCAGUGAGCCGAGAUUGCGCUGCUGCACUCCAGCCUGGGCAACAGAGCAAGACUCAGU
rnacentral:lncRNA from 10 species